UACGUAGGGAGCAAGCGUUGUCCGGAAUCAUUGGGCGUAAAGCGCGCGUAGGCGGCCCUGUAAGUCCGCUGUGAAAGUCAAAGGCUCAACCUUUGAAAGCCGGUGGAUACUGCAGGGCUAGAGUCCGGAAGAGGCGAGUGGAAUUCCUGGUGUAGCGGUGAAAUGCGCAGAUAUCAGGAAGAACACCCGUGGCGAAGGCGGCUCUCUGGUACGUGACUGACGCUGAGACGCGAAAGCGUGGGGAGCGAACAGG
rnacentral:rRNA from 1 species